CAGCCGCCGCGGUAAUACCGGCGGCCCGAGUGGCGGUCACUAUUAUUGGGCUUAAAGCGUCCGUAGCCGGGUUGGGAAAUCCUCCGGGAAAUCUGGCCGCUUAACGGUCAGAAUGCCGGAGGAUACUCCCAGCCUAGGGAGCGGGAGAGGCCGAGGGGAUUCCCGGAGUAGGGGUGAAAUCCUAUAAUCCCGGGAGGACCACCUGUGGCGCAGGCGCUCGGCUGGAACGCGUCCGACGGUGAGGGACGAAGGCCAGGGGAGCAAACCGGAUUAGAUACCCGGGUAGUCCUGGCUGUAAACGAUGCGGACUUUGUGUCGGACAAGCUAUGAGCUUGUCCGGUGCCGGAGGGAAACCGUUAAGUCCGCCGCCUGGGGAGUACGGCCGCAAGGCUGAAACUUAAAGGAAUUGGCGGG
rnacentral:rRNA from 1 species